UUAGAUACCCUAUUAUAAAAAUUUAAAUUAAUUUACUAAAAAAUUAAUAGUUAUGUUCUUUAAAUUUAAAAAAUUUGGCGGUAUUUUAGUCUUAUUAGAGGAACCUGUUUUUUAAUUGAUAAUCCACGAUUAAUUUUACUUAUUUUGAUUAAUUCAUAUAUCGCUGUCAUGAAUAUAUUAAAAAAUUUAUUUUCUUUAUUUAUUUUUUUAAUUUAUGUUAAGUCAAGAUGUGGUUUAUAAAUGAGUUAAUAAUGGGUUACAUUGAAUUUUAUUUUUGGAUUUAAAAUGAAAAUUAAAAUGAAAUUGGAUUUAAUAGUAAAUUUAUUUAUUUAAUAA
rnacentral:rRNA from 1 species